UACGUAGGGCGCAAGCGUUUGUCCGGAAUUAUUGGGCGUAAAGAGCUCGUAGGCGGCUUGUCACGUCGGGUGUGAAAGCCCGGGGCUUAACCCCGGUCUGCAUUCGAUACGGGCUAGCUAGAGUGUGGUAGGGGAGAUCGGAAUUCCUGGUGUAGCGGUGAAAUGCGCAGAUAUCAGGAGGAACACCGAUGGCGAAGGCAGCUCGCUGGGACGGUACUGACGCUGAGGCGCGAAAGCGUGGGGAGCAAACAGG
rnacentral:rRNA from 1 species